rnacentral:rRNA from 1 species
UACGUAGGUGGCGAGCGUUGUCCGGAUUUACUGGGCGUAAAGAGCGCGCAGGCGGCUGGUCAAGUCCGAUGUGAAAGCUCCCGGCUUAACUGGGAAAUUGCAUCGGAAACUGAUCGGCUGGAAGGUGGGAGAGGGUAGCGGAAUUCCCGGUGUAGUGGUGAAAUGCGUAGAUAUCGGGAGGAACACCAGUGGCGAAAGUGGCUACCUGGCCCAUUCUUGACGCUGAGGCGCGAAAGCUAGGGGAGCAAACGGG